CCAAAAUGGCGAUGGCGAAGCCGCGCGGGGCCGCCGCUCUCUCCGCCGCCCGGGAAGGAAGGAAGGCAGAGCGGCAGGCUGAGGCGGCAGCGGUUUUAGCGAGGGCUUGUCCUUGGGGAAGGAGCCCCUCCGUGCCGGAGCAGGACGAGGGGCCCCGUUAACGCUGCCAGGAAGCGACCCGGGAGGCGCCACCAGCUAUGGAAUCUCCUGCAAAGAGACCUGUGUCAAAAAUAGCAGUUGAAGGUAGGAAAUCCUUAUCAAUCUUCUUCUGUCUUGGGAUACCUCAGGAGUAAUUCUGCUUUCAUGUUACCCAAGGCUCUGGGAAAACCGAGGAAGAAAGAUACUAAAAUAGGAAUAAACCAGGUCAAAGCCUGCCAGUAAUUUUGAGCUACAUAGCAGCACAGUCCUGAAACUAGUAUAGUCCCUUCUUCCAGGCUGCAUUUGAUAAAUGUUCACAUUGUUGCAUAUUAACCAAAUCAGAACCCUCAAAAUAAUCUGCUUUGGCCAGUCAUAUAUUUUCAUUACCAAGAGCCUAACUGGUUUUGGAGGCAGGAAGGAAAAAAGGAGACUUAACAGAUUCUUCAGUUCCACACGAUCUGCAUUCUUGCUUUUAAGUUAAUCACAAUAUGCCAUUGUAGCCUUGCAUGAAACAAUUGCCUGUGUGUGUUAUCAUUCCACAGGAGCUUAUCCCACAGGGAUCAAAAUAGCAUUGGCUUGAGCUGGGUCAGUGUCCAUGCCUAAGGAUGGCCUCACUCCAGCUCUUUGUAAAGUUAUGAAGCAUUUCAUUUUAGUUAUUUUGCAAAUACCUGUCCAUUGACAGUGCUAGCUGCUUUCAUAGUUUAGACAUGGUUGCCUCUUCUUGGUGAAAAUUGAGUAAAAUUUUAAGGUACCUGUUUUGCAUUUUUUAAAGUGACCUAGAAGCCUCAGCUUCAUUCACUUGGAGAAUGACCAUAGCUUUGUCUAAACCUAAAGA